rnacentral:rRNA from 1 species
AGAGUUUGAUCCUGGCUCAGGAUGAACGCUAGCUACAGGCUUAACACAUGCAAGUCGAGGGGCAGCAUUUUAGUUUGCUUGCAAACUAAAGAUGGCGACCGGCGCACGGGUGAGUAACACGUAUCCAACCUGCCGAUAACUCGGGGAUAGCCUUUCGAAAGAAAGAUUAAUAUCCGAUAGUAUAUUAAAACCGCAUGGUUUUACUAUUAAAGAAUUUCGGUUAUCGAUGGGGAUGCGUUCCAUUAGUUUGUUGGCGGGGUAACGGCCCACCAAGACUACGAUGGAUAGGGGUUCUGAGAGGAAGGUCCCCCACAUUGGAACUGAGACACGGUCCAAACUCCUACGGGAGGCAGCAGUGAGGAAUAUUGGUCAAUGGACGAGAGUCUGAACCAGCCAAGUAGCGUGAAGGAUGACUGCCCUAUGGGUUGUAAACUUCUUUUAUAUGGGAAUAAAGUAUUCCACGUGUGGGAUUUUGUAUGUACCAUAUGAAUAAGGAUCGGCUAACUCCGUGCCAGCAGCCGCGGUAAUACGGAGGAUCCGAGCGUUAUCCGGAUUUAUUGGGUUUAAAGGGAGCGUAGGUGGAUUGUUAAGUCAGUUGUGAAAGUUUGCGGCUCAACCGUAAAAUUGCAGUUGAAACUGGCAGUCUUGAGUACAGUAGAGGUGGGCGGAAUUCGUGGUGUAGCGGUGAAAUGCUUAGAUAUCACGAAGAGCUCCGAUUGCGAAGGCAGCUCACUAGACUGCAACUGACACUGAUGCUCGAAAGUGUGGGUAUCAAACAGGAUUAGAUACCCUGGUAGUCCACACAGUAAACGAUGAAUACUCGCUGUUUGCGAUAUACAGUAAGCGGCCAAGCGAAAGCAUUAAGUAUUCCACCUGGGGAGUACGCCGGCAACGGUGAAACUCAAAGGAAUUGACGGGGGCCCGCACAAGCGGAGGAACAUGUGGUUUAAUUCGAUGAUACGCGAGGAACCUUACCCGGGCUUAAAUUGCAUUUGAAUAAUCUGGAAACAGGUUAGCCGCAAGGCAAAUGUGAAGGUGCUGCAUGGUUGUCGUCAGCUCGUGCCGUGAGGUGUCGGCUUAAGUGCCAUAACGAGCGCAACCCUUAUCUUUAGUUACUAACAGGUCAUGCUGAGGACUCUAGAGAGACUGCCGUCGUAAGAUGUGAGGAAGGUGGGGAUGACGUCAAAUCAGCACGGCCCUUACGUCCGGGGCUACACACGUGUUACAAUGGGGGGUACAGAAGGCAGCUACCUGGCGACAGGAUGCUAAUCCCAAAAACCUCUCUCAGUUCGGAUCGAAGUCUGCAACCCGACUUCGUGAAGCUGGAUUCGCUAGUAAUCGCGCAUCAGCCAUGGCGCGGUGAAUACGUUCCCGGGCCUUGUACACACCGCCCGUCAAGCCAUGAAAGCCGGGGGUACCUGAAGUACGUAACCGCAAGGAGCGUCCUAGGGUAAAACUGGUAAUUGGGGCUAAGUCGUAACAAGGUA